CCAUUUCAGCUAAGCUUUCAUUGUCAAAAUCAAAACUCCAGAAAACUUGAGAAACCAGUUCCUUCUACAAGGUUUUGAAUUAUCGAAUGGUCUAUAGGAGAGGCAUCUAAGAGUACUGUGGAGUGAACAAACUCAAAUUAGAGUAACAGCUGUUGACUAUCGAUUUUCAGCCUUCUCGAUUCCUUCACUGGUUUCUUUCGGCUUCUUGAAAUUCCCUUCACGAUGCUUGUCCUCCAAUUGGUCGACAUUUUUAAUCUCCUUAGUUGCUGCUAACACUUUGACAACACAAUCCUGCACCCAACUAGUUCAUAUCAUAAUGCAGAUAAUAGAAAGAAAUUGAUGCCAAAUAAGAAUGAUAAUGAUACUUCCUUCUUCCUAGAAAAUCAAUUCUCAAAAUCUGUGUAGUAAUAGUUGAAAGUCUACAUCUUAUAACCAUGUGAAAUCAUUGAAAUAAAUUCCUGAAUAUUUCCUGAGUAUGGGGAGGAAACUGUUUAUUUAAGCCUCUCUCCAACUAACAAACUUGCAUGUCAAUCAGAAAGAAGAGGAAUCAGUGUCUAUAUGCAGCAUUACUUCAUGUAAGAAACAAACAGGCAGCAACUGUUCAAGAUAACCUGCGCUUUCUACUUCGACAAUGACUAGUCCCUCCGUUAUGAACCUCUUGUGGGGAAAAUAAGAAGACAUGGUAUAUGUUCUCUUUGCAUGUCUCUGUCUGUUUCAAAUUUGUUUCAACAAUUCUGUUCUGUGCUGUAAACUUUUUCACUAAAGAAAUUAAUUUGGCUAGAAAAAUUAGAAACAAGAGUAGUCUAAUUUUUUCAAAAUAGGGUUCUGGCACUUGUCACUUGAACUAAAGCACAAUCAUACAAUACCACACAAACCCAAAGUACUUCUAGUAGAUCCUGUUCUUGGUGGGUCAAUUAGUCCAACAAGUUUUUCUUCUUUGUGGGAAGAAAAUAGAAAAAGAAUGGAAUGAUUCAUAGAAGUUGUUUGUAUAUCUAGAGAGCGUGCACAACAAAAAGUAUAUCCAACCUUAUUCAGAUGUAUUUCUGGAAAUGCAGCCAUGCUGCUUGUUAAAUGUACGAGAAUAAGUGAAAGAAAAUUUCUAGGAAAUUGACUUUUGAAAUAACAAUUGAACUAAAAUAUUUAAUACAGCUACCAAAUUGAAUGUAUAAUAUUUCUAUUCUUAAAAAUGGUAACAACAAAGUUGUACUAGAACUACCAUUUCUUUGUUAAGAUAUUGUAGAAUACAACUUCUAAAGGAAAAUCAUUGUUGUAUUCUACAAUAUCUUAACAAAGAAAUGGUAGUUCUAGUUUUACAUUAAAUAACACUGAUUGUACAAUGUGAAUUACUUGCAAACUAUGACAUUGUUUACAGUACACUAGAAUUCUUAAACAGGAACAAAUACAAUACUUUGAUAUUUUCAUAUAGUGGAAUUCACAUGAAUGGUCAUAUCCACUGCUACGUCUUGGCUUGGCUUGGCUGAUAAUUCACUACAUAUCAAAUCUCAACAACAGUAUUGGAAUCGACUUUCAACAUUGGUAACAAGGUGCCGAGCAAAAGAGGGCCAAGGAUGAAGAAGAUAUAAGGGAGAGUCAUUUGCAUGAAGGAUUGGGAAGAUACAACAUUUAUAUAAGAUCAAAAUUUUGAAAAUAUCACCAAAGACUUCCAAAAUCUCGACGUAAUAGACACCAUAUGAGUGCAAAUAAUUGAACUAAAGUUAAAUAAAUGCCAACCUAGUUGGAUGUACUGAAACUAUAAGAUAUAAAUGAUUGAUAGCUAAGUAGGUUUUUUAGUUGGGAUAUAUCUUCAACUAUAUAAUGCAUCUAAUUGUAAAUUGUUAGUUUGAAAAAACUAUAUUCCAAAAUUCGGAUAUGAUUUCUACAAUUACGAAUUUAUUUUCAAUUCAUAUAAAAAAUUGACACUUCUAGGUUCAGCAUGUAGGCCGAACCUGGCCCACUUUGAGUCUGGUAUGCGGACCAAGUGAUGCAAUAUUAUAAGAGAUUAUAUAUUAUUUAAUUUCCAAUUUUAAAGCUUAUUUUAGGAAACACAAUUAUGAUUUGAUUUUAUAGAAUUUCUUACUUAGAAUAGGCUUUUGAAACCCUAUAUAGAGGGGCCUAUGAAAUCUAAUACAGGCAAGCUUUGAAUGAAUAAAAAUGGACAUAUUUCCCCUCUCUAUUCUCUCACUCUCAUUCUUUAUUUUUGACCAAAUGAUGGAGCCAGAAAUAUCACGACAAUUGAAAUAGAACAUCAAUCCCAAACAUCUCAUGCAAUAUUAUAAAAAAUAUUAUAUUAUUUAGUUUUCAAUUUUAAAGCUUAUUUUAUUGAUAUCUUUCCCCUAUCUCUCUAUUCUCUCCUUCUCAUUAUAUCCACCCCCCCCCCCCCCCCCCAUUUUUUCCCCCCCUUCCCUUUCCCCCCUGUUUCCUUUGAACAACACCAAUAAGCAAUCUGAAUUAUACCACCACCACCCUUUAUAUCCAUCACCAACUUUUCCCACUCAAUCAAAACAAAAAGGAUCGGCAGUAGCACUAAAGUUUGUUUUCAGUCUCUUAAGUUUUUGCAGUUUGUUCCAAGAAAGAAAAAAAAAAGGUAAGGUUUCAAUUACAGAUUACCUAUUGCUAUUGCUUCUUCAAAACACAAAAGUCCAACUCUAAAAACCCAAUCCUGGCCCACUUACACACAAGCCAAAUACAGACAAUGCAAUUAAAUAUUUCAACACAAUCAAACCAACUCCUAUUUAUCCUAACCCAUUGGACACCCAUUAUCACAUACAGCCCAACAUAACCCUAGCCCAUUCACCAUACAGACCAACUCACUAAAUUACUCUCCGCAUGACCUGCCUAGCAGACUAGUUGACUCCGCCCCAAUAAUAAUCAGUUAAUAUUAACCCAACAUCAUAACCAUCAUCACACAAAUACUCACCUCGAACCUGCCACAUAUAACCAUAUAAUAAGCCCAUGCACAAUAGCACACUUUCCAUAGCCCACCUAGUACGCUUUUAACCAUAAUCCCUAGCUCAAACUGCCAACGUCAAUGGGCUCCAUCACCACUCCAUCGUCGCCGUCUACAGCCACCACCAUUACUUUCCUCCACCCACCAAAUACCCAUCGCUAAUACUUCAUCCAGCCGUCACAACAUCUAACCUAUACCUUCAUAAUAGCCUGACCCCAGGAGUAUCAUGCUGACCAGUCCCAUUGUCCUGACCACCGGCUUUGCCAGCAUCCCAUCAUUCCACCACCACCUCAACACACCUCCUACACUUAGGACUAGACAUGGUCUGGUUCAGUUCGGUUCUAAAGAAAAUCGAACCAAACCCAAAUUUUCGGAUAAUUAGUACGUCGAACCGUGGGUACAAAAUUGAUUAUGGAACUAUUCGGGUUCAAUUCCGUUCAAUUUGGUUUGAUUCGGUUAUUAAUUUUUUAACAUUUACAACGACGUUACAUUAAUUUAACUAAUGAUAUAUUCAAUUUUAACUCUUACAAAAUAACGUGGUCUAAUCUCGUAAUAUUUUUUGCACUUCUCGUUGUUUAGAUCUUUGUAGAUUUAACUGUUAAAAUCACAAAAAAGGGAAGAUAGCGAACUCACUAUAAUGAAGAGAGAUGUAGCCGAGUUUCCAAUUCAAUUUCUCCAGAACGGCAUAAAUGACACUACGUAGAAUAAGAAAUUUAAGUAAAACUUAGUUUAACUUGAUUAAGUUGGGCUUGAACUAAAAAUUAGAAAUAGGAAAAUUAUAUUUUGGGUUUGAGCUAAAUUAACUAGCCAGCAAAUUUAUUUUAAAAAAUAAAAUAAUUUGAUUUAUUUAAGAUAAAAAAAAGGGGAAAUAAGAAGAUUCAGUUCUUAUUUAAUUUCCAGUUCUUGGUCUCAAAUCGAGAAUCGAAUCAAAUCUUUCAGUUUUCGACUUAGAUACCCGUUUGGGCAUUUAAUUUAAGAAGAACCAUGCGGUUCCAGUUCCGGUUCCGGUUCGGUUCAAUUGGUUCAGUUGGCAAGUUUUGUCCACCCUUACCUACACCAACAAUUUAAUUCCAUCCAAGACAGAAAAUCACCCGUUCCUCCUCUAUUUCCAUCACCACCACGAGAAGCCACGCCACUCACACCUCCAUGAUCUAAGUACCCAUUUUUCUCUGCCUUGAUAGCCGUUGCAGCCCCAAAUAUAUUAGUUCCUCCAAAUCUCCGGUUGCUUCCAUAUAAGAAUUCCUAUGCAUAGAUCACGUCCUUUGAUCACUACCAUAGACACGUACCUUUUCAUUCCACUUAUUAACACAAUUAUCCUCCGUCUAGGACUUCUGUUGAGUACGUACAUUCUCCUUUUAGGCAACUUUCAAUCAACCUGUGGGACUUUGGUGGUCUUAGGCCAUCUCCAGCCUUGUACCAAAUUUUGUACCAUUUUGCACUAAAUUUUGCACCAAAUCUUACACCAAACUAAAAUUCAUCUUCAACCAUUACACCAAAAGUUACACCAUAUGAACAGUGUUUAACCAUUUUCUUUCCUUUUUUAUUCUUUAUAAUUUAUUUAUUUGAAAUAUUAUUUAUUUAAUUAUUUUAUAAACACAUAAAUUACUAAAUAAAUAAUUACGUUAAAUUACAGAAAAUAUUAAAUUCAUUAAUAAAUAUAGAAAAACAUAGAACAAUUAAUAAAAACAAUACAACAACGAAAAUAUGAAAUCAUGCCAUCAGAAAAUAGUACAAUGCAUUUCGAAUUUGGAUAUAUGAUAUUUUGAAGUCGCAAAAUUUUUGCAAUUUAAUUCUCGGAAUUCAUAUGUUCAUCCCACAAAUGAUCGAUUAAUGCAUUUCGAGGUGCAAUGUGAGUUUUUUAUGUUUCCUUUUUUUCAAAAUAAAAUUAGAUUAUCGUAUGUAUGUCAUUGUUUAAUAUAUUUCGUGUUAACUUCAAUAAAUAAUUGUGUUUGUUGUAUUUUAAAUUGUUUUCGUCUUUAAUUAAUUUAUUAAUUAUUAUGUUUUACAUUUAAAAUUUAUUUUAAAUGCAAAUAAUAAUAAUAUUAAUAUUAAUAAAAAUAAAAAUAAUUUAUUGUAUUAAAAAAUAUAUAGCACAAAUGACAUAAAUACCUUUAACAAAUUUAUUUGGGCAAUGUUAAAUAAUGGCAAAAGAGACAUUUUACACUUUGUAUCAUUUUGCACCAAAAUGGUGUAAAGUUUGGUGUUACAUUGGAGCAACUUUGCACCAAAAAAUGGUGCAAUGGUGCAACCAUUGAAGAUGCCCUUACUAAACCCUAUUCAUUCUAGAUUGGCUUGACAAUCUUGAAAAAUUCUUAGUCUAUCGCAAUUUAAGUGACUCAUGUAAAAUUUGUCAUGCUAAUAUGUCAUUGGUUGGUUCUCCUAAAACUUAUUGGAGAUUAUAUUUGCGUAAUCGUCUAGGUCAACGCACUGUCACCUCGUGGGAUGAGAUGAAACAAAUUCUAAGUAAUAAUAUGCCACUGUAUAUUAUCGAACUUAAUUGUUAAAUUAAUUCUUUUUGCACUGUAGGCAAUUCCACUGUUAAUACAUAUCUACCCAUUUCGAAGUUGCUACACAAUUGUUAUAUUUAUGAACCUCUUCACAUCACAGCGUCUAAGUUUAUAUAUGGUUUAAAUCCUGAAAUCUUACCUAAUAAUAAUCCUACAUUCUAAUCCUUAGGUGACGCUUAUCAACAGGCUAAUCAACUUACCCUUCCAUCUUCACCACAUGAGCCAUAAGCUAGGUCUACCACCCUUAUCUCGACAAUCACCUUCUGAGUCUAGUUGUAUUACUCUUGAGGGAGAAACUGAGGUUCCUAUUGUUGAGCCAAUUGCGUAUUUAGAUAUCGAGAAUGAGGAAUUAUCUACUGUGUUGCCACCUAAGUCAAAUAAUCCACCUAUCCUCGAUUUCACGCCGAAGUCGUUUAGGUCUAAUCCUUUGUGUGACUCUAACAUUGCUUUUCAUACGACUUUCCCUCCACGGUAUGAUACUCCUUUAGUUGACAGGUGCUCUAAGGUCAUUGUCCAACGAAACAAUUUCCUAUUGACAUUCGGUUGUUGCCUACUAAUUAUCAUCAUAUUACUUUAGCUUUUUCCUUUCUUGAUUUUCAUGACGAGUUUAAAAGUAAAACUAUUUUCAGUCAUAAAAUUUAUGAGCUUGCACUCAACACGAUUUUUAGACAAAUACUUCCAUGGUGAUUUUUAUGCCUUAUUCCGUAUUUCUUUCGCACGAUGUCCAAAAUAUGUAAAGAAGAAAUUAGAUCGCUCACUUGAAUUUAAUCUAUUUGACCGACCAUUACACUUAAAUAAAUGUAAUGUUUUCAAUAUGACAAAAUUGUUUACUUCUCAAGGCACAUCCAAGCUACGGGUGUUACACUCAUUUGUUUCUACAAACCAAUCUACCAUGCUAGUGUCUCGCACUUAUUUGGUGAAUUCUAUAAUAACUUUUGCGGAUGAGCUGCAUGUGUUGUUGCUUUUUGGAGAUCAUUCUCGCUGCUUGGUUAAAAGGAAAAUCGUCUCCCUUGGCUAGAUCAUAUUAUUGGAGAUGAUUUGCAGCUUCAAUUAUUGUCAAUUAUUUAGUUUUGUUAUUUGAAUCAUAAGAAAGAUCGUCAUCCUUGGUACGCAUUCAGUGAGAUGUUGUCGUCCAAGGUCCAAUACAGGCAUUUGGUGAAGACAAGAAAUUGACCUCCUUAGAGUACGAAGUUCUAUUCUACAUCGCCGGAGUCAAGUUCUCUCAGUCGGAGAAAAAUGACGCAAUAUUAUAAGAGCGAUUAUAUUAUUUAGUUUCCAAUUUUAAAGCUUAUUUUAGGAAACGAAAUUAUGAUUUGAUUUUAUAGUAUUUCUUACUUAAUGAGUCUUUUGAAAUCCUAUAUAAAGGGGUUUAUGCAAUGCAAUUCAGACAAGCUUUUGAUUUAAAUAAAAAUUGAUAUCUUUCCCCUAUCCCUCUAUUCUCUCCCUUUCAUCUUUCUACCCCUCCCUCCCUCCCUCCCUCCUUCCUUUCUCCUUUUCUUUUUCUCUUUCCUUUUCCCCUCUCCUAUAAUUCUUCCAUAGUAUACUGCAUCACCAGGACAUACAAAUAAACAUGGAAAACUUAAAGGUGAAAAAUUGACCAAGUUCCUUGUUAUUUUGUUUUGUUUUCGGUUUCUCAAUCACCACUGUUCUUUAAUAAUGCAAUGAAUCAUUGCCACUACAAGUCCUUUUCCAUGAAAAUCAUUCAUCUGCUGCUUAAAACACAAACUUGUGUCCCAUUGUAGAAGUCCAACGAAGAGCUUCAAUUUGGGUGGCCUAUGGGUUUCAGCGAAAAAUAAAUUCAGGUGAAUUCAUGUACUAGUAUAAUUUAUUAUGUUUUAUCAAGUUAUUUUAAGUUGAAUAGUGAAAAUUACUGCAUGACUUAUAUUUUCUGAUGUCUUUAUUUAUCUUCAUUUUUAUACAAUUUUAUUUAAAAUCUGAAUCACGUAAAUCAAAAUAUAAUAGAGGUAUUUACUCUUCCUGUUUUAUAAAUGAAAAAGGUAAUAUUCCAGCAAUUCCUGAUCAGGACAAAGUAUCAUUUUCGUUCCGGGAAAUCCAUAACCAUAACACCUCAACUACCAGUGUUUUGCAUGAGUUAAAGACGAGCUUUUGUAAGGGUUCCUUUCAAAUCUUUUCCAUUGCUGAUAGAAGGCAGCUUAUGUACCCGUUAAGCAGCUACAAAGCCGGUGAUCACUAUGUAUUCAGUGCUAAGACAGAUCUCUACCUAUUCAUUGCUAAAUAAGUAGAUCUCUGGCUUGUUGCACUGCUAAGUUCUGCCCUCACUAAAUCAUGUUGUGGAUUCGCCACUGGAAAACCAGGCCUGCCCACCCGCCACAAGGUACAAGUUUCCCUUCAACUGGCACGAUCUCGCCGGCCCAAUUGACACCACUACUAUUAACCUCAAGGAUUUUAGUCAAUAUAUUAGUGUCCUCAUGAUCAUUCUAUAAACUUCAUCUGGAUCAAUUGCAAAUAUACAAACCAUUCAGUUAUUCAAAGAAGAAAAAUGUAUGAUUAUCAAUAUAAAUGAUUAUUUACUAGGAGUGAGGAUUUUAAUAAAACCAAAAAGGCAGUACUUCAGUAAUUAAGCUACAGCAAUACUUCCUUUUGACUUAGGAUGCAGUGGAAAAAUAAAAAUAAAAAAGGAAAACGCACAUGUGGGAGGGAGGGGGGAGGGGGGGGGGGGGGGGGGGGGAAGGAAAUGAAGGGAAGGGGAUAUUUUUAGUUUUGUGUGUAACUGGAGAGGGAAGCAAAGGAGAGGAAAGGAAUAAGUUGAACCAACGUGCUGUGUGGAAAAACAUGUGUCAGUAAAUUAUUUUUGAAUAUUCAAUUUCCUUUUCAUCAAAUUAUCUAAAUAAAAAUGUAGGCUAAUUUUAAACCUUCAAUUGCUUCUUGUCACUCCACAAGUAAUUAUUCCCUUAACAUCGUCCCCUUCCAUCCAAACACACUGCAAGUCUACUUAUAAGGAGGAAUUAUGGAUAUGAUUCCACAUCAAUUAUCUCUCAUCUAAAAUUUAUUAUCAAGAUCUCACCCUCCCAGCACUGAGAGAUGCAGCCAGGCCCAGACAAGGAGUAGGAAUGGGGGAAAGAAUUCUAAACAGAACGGCAAACAAACCCACAAACAGAUAUACAAACAACAAAACCAACAGCGGCUGGAUACCAAAAAUGAGUAGCCUAUAAACUUAUUUCAUCAUUAACGUGAAGAUCUAAACACUAGGAAAACUUAGCAAAGCAACAUGCUGAAGUGAUAGCAAAGAGGUUAAGAGUAAGUUGACCCGACUAUUUUGUCUAAAAGAGCAGAUUGAUCUCGUCAGACAAAACUGUUUUCCACCAAUCACAAAUUCUUUUCCUCUUGGUCCUUUCAUAUGUAAAGAAUUUCAUCAUAUGCAUAAGUGAAAAUGCACUCUAUUUGAGCCGUUGUUACACCUUUUAUUACAUUGGAUAAUAAGCCUUCAUUAUGCUACACUAGAACGUUAAACAUCAAUGAGAACCAGCUUGAAUUCCAAGUGAAUAGAAUGGAUGUGCCAAUAGAAACUCUACUCAAUCAAAUCGAGGAAGCUUAAAGUCUCCCAUUGGACAUAUUCUUCUACUUCCUUCCUGCAGUCAAGCUCAGCAAAUUAAGUGCGAACCAUACAUCCAUUUGUCUCUAUAUGAAAGACAAACAAUGCAAAGACCAAAAGGUAAUAAAAGAGGUAUCAGCCUUGAAUUUGAGGCAUGAUGCGAGGUGAGAGAGAUGGUGGGAAUCGCUUUUAUUCAAGCAACAUGAAUAGCACCACAAGCAUGAUGUACCACUAAAUUCCAAGAAUAUAAUAAAUUAAAAUUAUAUACCAUGAUUAUAACUGCCAUUCAAGCAGACAAACUGCCUCAAUAAUAACAGGAGCACCCAAAGUUAGAUUCUAGCCGAGUUGGUUGUGUCUAAUCAUUACUCGAAGUUUAUUAAUAACCAUUCAAUUAUCAUCAAAAUUAAGGUACGCAAAGUUAAGUUCCUCAAUCAUUUCCAUCAGUAAAAAUUCCCAUAUAACAACUAGAAAUACUUGAGAGACAAUCAACAAAAGAGCGAGACUCGUAGAAGAAGCGCAAAGAAAGGGGAAGAGAGGGAGAAAAAGAAGAUGAGGUGGAGACAUGAAGGGAAGAGGAAUCAGAGAAGCGGAGAGAAGAGUAAGAAUUAUUAGAGAGGAAAUUGUAGUUUUCCAAUAAUCAUAUCCAAGUACUACGAUGUAUAGACCAGGAUGAACUAAUAUAAUUUAAGUAGGAAAUAACUUAUAAUUAGUUUUCCUAAAAUAAGAAUUUAAACAUGAAAAGUCUUCAUAUAAUAUACUAAGUACUACACCUUGAGGAAGCAAAUAUACAAUCACAACUCAAGUCCCCAUUGAAUAAUCAAAAUUCACCAUCAUAAUUUUGCAAACUGAAAAGACAAUUUAGGUAAACUACUCAAUAAAUAGGACAAUGAGACACUAAUCCUCUAUUAUGUCAUGCUUGAGAAUCAACUAACAAUUUAAUAUAGAAUCCAUAAACCGGAAAAAUUCCAAAAAAAAAAAAAAAAAAAAAAAAAAAUAGUAACUUAGAGCAAACGAGACCACGAUAGCAAGAAACCCAGUACUUGGCCAUGCCCAGAAGUGUUAGCAAUUCCAGCCCUCAACAGCAAAAGCACACCACAAUCCCACCUGCACCCAGUACAAUUAGAUAAUUCCUCUUCAAAAGGAACAGCCCCUAUAUCCCAAAUAAUCGUCCUUAACUGCUAAGGAACCCACUAACAUUUUUU
rnacentral:lncRNA from 1 species